AGGCGUGCAAAGGUUUCCUCGGGCCAGACGGACAUUGGUCCUCGAGUGCAAAGGCAGAAGGGAGCUUGACUGCAAGACUCACCCGUCGAGCAGAGACGAAAGUCGGCCUUAGUGAUCCGACGGUGCCGAGUGGAAGGGCCGUCGCUCCACGGAUAAAAGUUCGUCUAGGGAUAACAGGCUGAUCUUCCCCAAGAGUCCACAUCGACGGGAAGGUUUGGCACCUCGAUGUCGGCUCUUCGCCACCUGGAGCUGUAG
rnacentral:ncRNA from 1 species